rnacentral:tRNA from 1 species
GCAGUGGUAGCCAAGUGGUAAGGCAGCGAUAAAGUCUCCUUGUUCAUAAUCUUAUCCGUAAGGGUCGAAGAAUUGAGGGUUAUCUUAAUGGGUUUCGCUAUUCGCGGGUUCGACUCCCGCCCACUGCA